rnacentral:miRNA from 1 species
CCAGGUUGUGGCCUUAGGAAUC